UGUUUGCUCCAAUUUUACAUUCUUGAUUUUGGAAACUAGAUACCUAUUCAAAUUAAAAUAAACAUUCGAUUCCUAUCUACUUUUGUCCAAAAAUCGCUGCUCAUCGUUAGAUGGUUUAAGCAUCGGUUUUGAUUUUCGGAUUUUGGAACUCAACCGCUUCAUUCCAAAAAGGUCUCUCCAUACUUUUCUCUCGACAAGAUUUUAGGGUUUUGGAUGUUAUUCAUGGUUUCCAUCAAUCUCAUCUUCUAUUACUGGCGACAUAACUCCCAUCCAUCAACAAAACCUUUUCAUCUUUGUGGAGUUUUGGGUUCAUCUUCUUUAAGAUCCACUUAAUGGUGGUUUGAGGGUAUUUAUUUGAAGUUGGGGCAGAUAUGAGGUGAGUAGUGUGUAGUUCUUAGGUGGUUGGGGAUUUGGGAAAAGAAUGUGUAAUUGGGAAGGAUAAAAGUGCACAAAACUUGAGGUUUAAUUGAAACAUGUUUUAUCUAUUAAACAUGUGAUCUACUGUGUAUUUCUUCAACACUAUUAAUGUGUUUAAACUUAUAUUAUAAAUUUGGAUUUUCACUUUCA